CCUACGGGGGGCUGCAGUGGGGAAUAUUGGACAAUGGGCGCAAGCCUGAUCCAGCCAUGCCGCGUGAGUGAUGAAGGCCUUCGGGUUGUAAAGCUCUUUUGGCGGGGACGAUGAUGACGGUACCCGCAGAAUAAGCCCCGGCAAACUUCGUGCCAGCAGCCGCGGUAAGACGAAGGGGGCAAGCGUUUUUCGGAAUUACUGGGCGUAAAGGGCGCGUAGGCGGUCCUUUUAGUCGGACGUGAAAGCCCUGGGCUGAACCUGGGAGGUGCGUUCGAUACUGGGGGACUUGAGAGUGGGAGAGGUUGGUGGAAGUCCCAGUGUAGAGGUGAAAUUCGUAGAUAUUGGGAAGAACACCGGUGGCGAAGGCGGCCAACUGGACCAUUUCUGACGCUGAGGCGCGAAAGCGUGGGGAGCAAACAGGAGUAGAUACCCUAGUAGUC
rnacentral:rRNA from 1 species